UAUUGGUCAAUAGCCUAAGAGGCUGAACCAGCAACUUGGAGGAAUGUAUAGGGAAAACUGGUAAAAUGUAAUGUACCUAAUAGUAUUAGUGAUUAAUAUGAAAUUAACUAAGUUAAUUAAAAUUCGAAGUAGAUAUGUGAUUAUGACAAUAUUUGCUUAUUUCUUGACCAAGUCACGUGCCAGCAGUCGCGGUAAUACGUGGAAGAUAAGUGUUAUUCAUCUUUAGUAGGUUUAAAGGGUACCUAGACGGUUAAUUAAGCAUAUAUUUGUACUAAUUACUAACUAGAGUUUAAUGUAAGAAGGAUUGAGUACGGUGAGUGUAGAGAUAAAAUUCAGUCAUACCACUUAGGAACUGGUAAAGGCGAAGGCAACCUUUUAUGUAAAAACUGACGUUAAGGGACGAAGGCUCGUAUUAAGCAAUAGGAUUAGAGACCCUAGUAUUGUGGGCAGACAAUGAUGAGUGUCAUAUGCAAGAAUUUUUUUGUGUAUAAAUGAAAGUGUAAGCACUCCACCUCAAGAGUAACGUGGCAACAUGGGAACUGAAAUCAUUAGACCGUUUCUGAAACUCGUAGUGAAGUAUGUUGUUUAAUUUGAUAACCCUCAAAUAACCUUACCACAAUUUGUAUAACUAGUAAAAAUUAAUAACUAGUAACAAGCGUUGCACGGCUGUCUUCAGUUAAUGUUGUGAAACUUUGGUUAGAUCCAUUAAAUUGACGUAAACCCUUGCUUUAUUUGUUAUAAAGCAGUUCGCCGCUAUAUUGGUAGUGAUAUAAGGGACUAAGACAA
rnacentral:rRNA from 1 species